UCCGGCAUGGCGCGCUGGGCCGGGCUCGCGCUGCUGCUCUGCUGCCUCGGGCCUCUGCGGGGCGGCGCUGCGGGGCGGAGCCGGGCGCCGGGGCCGCCGCCGGGCAGCGCCAUGAGCGACCUCGCCGGGCGCUACGGGCGGCCCCUGGCCUGCCGGCCGUGGCGGGAGGGCUGCGAGCAGCCGCAGGAAGAGGCCGGGCGGGGGUCGCAGGGUUGGAGCUUGCCUCUGGUGGGUCAGGAUUAUCUGGAGAUCCUUUCUAGCUGGUACUGCAGCUUUGGAAAGUGCUGCGAGACAAGAGACUGCAGAAUAGCCAACAACAUCACAGGGUUAGAGUUGGACCUGAGCAGGAGGCUACAUGGGCAGCACUUGGCAAAGAAUGUCAUUCUGAAAGCAAUGCAAAGCUUCCUGGAGACCACACAGCCGGAGAAGGCUCUGGCUCUCUCGUUCCAUGGCUGGUCUGGCACUGGGAAAAACUUUGUGGCCCGGAUGAUCGCUGAUCACUUGUACCGAGACGGGCUGAAAAGCGAGUGUGUUAAAGUCUUUAUAUCGCUCUUUCACUUCCCACAUCCCAAAUACGUGGACUUGUACAAGGUUCAGCUGAAGAAGCAGAUAAGCGAGACAGUGCAGCUCUGCAAGCAGUCAUUGUUCAUCUUCGAUGAGGCAGAGAAGCUUCACUCUGGCCUGCUGGAUGCCAUCAAACCCUAUGUGGAUCACUAUGACGGCACCAAUGAGGUGGAUUACAGGAGAUCCAUUUUCCUCUUCCUCAGUAACAUUGGUGGGAACAUCAUCAACCAGGUGACCCUGGACUUCUGGCGAGCUGGACGGGCCAGGGAGGAGAUCACCAUGGAAUACUUGGAGCAGCACCUGCGCAUGGAGCUGCUUGAGUCCACAGGAAGAACUUCAGUGUGGCCUAGCACAAACCAAGAUACAUGAGGCAAAAUGCACAUUCAGUGCCACUCUACAUCUGGGGUAAUUAGCACCAAAGUUCUAAUAAUCCAAUGGAAUAUGCAUACGAGAGCAGUCGCAGAGAGGAAGAAGAGAUGUUUUGAACCCCAAGAAUUUGAUCUUUUUCCCUCACCCUCAAACUCACGAGAGCCAAUUAGAAUUCCUACAAGAGCCAGUCAUUACCAGACUGUUCCUGCCAGGGCCAAUUGAAAUAGAUUUGUAACUCCAUCAAACCACCACUAUUCUGCUCUCCAGUCAACCACUCAACAAGGACAAUUAACAGCAUUCUGAGGAUUUCUACUAAAGUGUUAUUGCUUGGAGUAGGGAAUAUAGCGUGGACAGACGUUGCCUCUUUCCAGUUAAACCAAUACACUUUUUUUCACCCUUCACUUGUACAAGACAAGACAAUCGAGACACCCCCUAUUUUCUUUUCCCAUUGUGUUCCUCGGAGCGGGCCUUACCUUUCCAUCUGCGGUGGUAUUGAUCCUGUAGUGGUAAACACGCCCUUCGUACCGGAGGGAGAUGGACAGCUGCCCCGGGCUGCUCUCGCUUUCACGAACCAGGAAGCUGCCAUUGAUGAGGCUGCUCAGCAGAUACUCUGCUGCACUGCGUGACACAGGCCCGUGAUACCAGGAAUGCUUCUCCAGGCUGUUCACUGGUGUGAUAUAGUUGCUUGGCACCCAUCCCUGCCCAUUCUUAGAACAUACCUCACUCCAUUCACCAUUCUGGUUGUAACCCAGGACUCGUAGCUUCUCACCUGAGGAUGGGGACAAGAGUGGGUUGGGGGAAUCAAGCUGAAAUCAGGUCAGUCUUCUUUGAGUAUACAUACUACUAGUUAACUAAGCCUGCCUUUGCAGCUAGAGAAUACAAGUCUUUGGCAAUGACCCUUUAAUACAACAUUCCCAAGCUGCUCCAUGUAAUUUUUAAGUAGAUAAAAAGUAAAAUUCAGAAAGUGGACUCAGGUUAGCUUUUAACUUAGAUUUAGGAGCCGGGGCGGGGGAGGAAGGGAGAAUAGUUUUGACAACCUCCAAAUCUGAGGAGCAGAACAGCGAAGACACUAUUCCCUAAUUACUCCAGUUUGGAUACUCAGCUAAAACUUACUAACAUACAACCACAUUUCCACAUACGUCAACCAGUUCCAGUGCUUCCUCUGGUUUAGAUUUCUGGAGCAGGGAGCUGAUUCUUUCCUAAGAGGUUGAGGACCCAUUCUAGGUUGGAGGACUUAAAACCAACCCCUUUAAAAGUGGUUGUACAGCAAGAUACAUUUCUCUGGCAUCCACUGACACUAGUGCUAAAAUCUCCAAGCUGAUAUUUUCCUUGGUAUAUUUAAAGAAGCCUUUCAUUUCCAUUGAUUUGAGGCAGUGAAAUCUGUAUAUGGGCGAUAAAGUUGAGAAGUGUCACUAUAGACAGUGAAAGAAGCCUAUAUAUAUUACCACUGUAGGACCAUGAGAUUCUAGAUCUCAGUAUUAGUAUCACAGUACUACCACGCAGUGCUCCUCAGGCUGUUCAGUUACCUGCCCUCUGGGCCAGGAGCAAUUCUCUAAAUUGUGUGGCUAACUUUCCCAAAAUAUCUGUGUGCAUGUUGACAGCAGUGGUGCUGGGAUUAGUUUUUUGUGGUGAUGGAGAUACUGGUAAAAUCAGCAGCUGCUGACAAGAGCAGGGGAGAACUAGUGUUUUGAAAGCUGACAGUUUCAGAGCAGAUGCGGGAUCAAUGUCCCACCUGCUAAUAGUUUGGUCACUAAUGCCCAGCAUCACCAAGGCUUAUGCUGACUGCCACUCAAUCAAUGUCCUGUCUAAGGCUGAAGGACAUGCGGUGAUACUAGCAGUGAAAACUAAAUUAAACUAGUGCUAUAGGCCUAACCCGAGAGUUUACUAUUUCUGAAGAAAAACUAUGAAACUUCUCACACUGCAAUGGGAAGGUUAGGCAUAGGUGAUUUUUGGAGUAGUGGUAAUAAUUAUGCUCCUUGGAUCACCAACUGCGUACUAACUAGUAAUCUCUGCAUUAUGUUAUUUCUCCAGCAGGGGUCCCUGUUACACAAGUUAAAAAAACAAACCCCACACCUGCUAGCAAGGCACCAAUCUAUCCAUCAGCAAGCUGUUCAUGAAAGAAAAUCUACUUCAGCUACAUUCACUUCUUCCACUCUCUCUGGUGGAAUGAGGUGACAAGUGAUUCUAGUAUAUUAUUUUCUCAUUGUUAAACCCACAGCUUUAGCACUGAAGGGAGCUACCUAUAGUUCUGCAGGGAAAAGUUAAUACUGCCAUCUUAUGCCAGGACUAUACUAUAAACUUAGGUUCACCCAGCUACAUUGCUCAGGGGUGUGAAAAAUCCACAUCCCCAAGUGGCAGCCUAACCCCCAGCAUAGGCAGUGCUAAGUUGAUAGGUCAGUGGAAGAAUUCUUCUAUCUACUGCCUCUUGGGGAGUUGGAUUAACUACAGUAAUGGGAAAACCACCUCCUGUUGCUGUAGUAAGUUCUACACUGAAGUGCUACAGUGGCAUAACUGCAGUGUUGCACCUGUGCUGCUGUCAGUGGCUUAAGGGUAGACACAGCCUUAGUGUGAAAUACCCUUCCCACUGUAGAGCGGCAGAGAAACAACUGUCCAUGUGAGUCAUGCUUUCCCUCUAACUUAGGGCUGUUUGGACAGGUACGUGCUAUCAUCUCAGCUAUCACAGGACUGUGAAUCAACACCUUGAUAAGAACAAAGUGGAGCCACAUGAAGAUGUUGAAAGGGUACAAUGCGCCUUACCUUUGGUGAUGCUGAGUGUGUUGUCGCCGCUUGCUACAAAAUCAUAAAGUGCAACAAAAAGAUUGGGAUCGCUCUCAGUGGUUCCAAGCAGGUUCUCCUUAGAGCUCCACCUGAUGGCUUCAUUCAGUGCCUGGGGUUCAACAUCACAACCAUAGGGGCGGUGAAGGGCCUCUGGACAAAAAGCGAGAGGAGGGAAUUUUACUCUAUGAAUAAGAGCUGUGAAUGUCAAAAUCCAAUGCACACACAACAGCGUUGCUGCAACAUUGUGAUCACUGCAUAGAACAGGAAGUAUGGAUUUUGCAAGAAUGAAUGUUGUAUAUCAAUCCAGGCAUCAUAAAAACAGCCUGUUGACCAGAGGAUAUCGAGGCUGUUACAAACAAAUAUGAAAAUAUAUAGUAACUUAUGUUGAAACUGAAUUUCAUCAGCCCUUCUUCAAACUCAUCCCUACUUUUGGAAGUUUUUCCACAAGAGAAAGGAACAUACAAGUUUCUAAAGAUGAAGUGAAGGUAAGAUUGAUGAGAAACAGAUCUUUCAUAUAUGACCAUUUUACACAUUUUUUCCUCCUCUUUAAGGAAGCUGAACUGGAAAGAGUGGACAGAGACAUUAAGUAAUACUGACAUCAAAUGGCAUGUCUCCAUCAAGAUCAACCGCUUUAGGAAGCUUAAAAUGAUACAAAUGUUCCCAGAUCAAGCUUGGGACUAUACUAGCAUUUAAUGCAACAUUUUUUUUUUUUUUUUAAUAGUUAGGAAUUCAGAGACAGGAUGGAAUAAGGCAUGAAGGAGCCAGUUAAUUGAGUAAGAUGGGAAGAAUGAGGCAGCAAGAAGAGACACACCCAAAAGCAGGAGCUAGUCUACGCAGAGCCUUGAAAAGGGACAGAGAGCUUAACUGCGAUAUAGGAUGGGGACAAUGGGAAGCCAGUGAGAAAAACAGGUGAGGGCCUGGGCAUGGUCCAAGCAGCAGGCAACCCUUUGGCACGGAUUCAGAGGAGACCAAGACUCAUUGCUAGGAAACCAAAAGUAAGGAUUUUCCUGCGAUAUCCAUUCAGUUUUUCCACUUUACUCUCCUCCUUCCCUCCCCCUCCAUUUUAAUGCUACUGUAACAAACAUGACAGAACAGGCUGUGAUUGUUAAUUUAUCAAAUGUUUUUCUUAGCAGCACUCACGAAUAGUUACAUACUCUAUUGGUUAUGCUGGCAGAUUUUAUAACUAUCAUGAAAUCACAAACUUGCUUCUCAGGGAGACUAGUAAACAUGUGUCUGGAGUGACUAGAUCUGUAUUUGAGGUCUCAGAGAAGUUAUGUCCUUUGCCAGCAUGACCUGCUGAUCUUGUGAUUGGUGAGUAACCUACAUUCCAGGCCUAAUCAAAAAGUUAUCACAUGCACCAGCAGAACUCAUCAGGCUCAAAGUUACAAGCUCCACUAGCAAUAAAUAAACCUGCAGUUAGGUAUUAAGCUAAUGAUAUUUUCAUUCCUACCAUUUUACUGCAGGUAUGUGCAACAGUUUUUGUACGUGGAUUGCUGUCAUCUUAUCAAUACCAACUGGUUUUAGAGAAUGCUAAAGUACAACACUGGUAUCACAAGACAACAUGAAAAAAUCCCGGUGGAUAAAUUAUAGCACAAGUGCCCAUAUCCCAGCACAAGUGCCUGAAUGCUUAUAGCUGGGCAUGUAUAUACACAUCAAAUAGUUAGCACUGAACUGUUUUGGUGGCAACAGAUAGGAGCACCCAUUCCUUGAAGCAGCUGUCUUUAUGGAGCAAAAAUAAAUAGUAAUUAAAUAAUACAUUCUUUACACUUUUGUAGUGCCUUCCAUCAAAGCCAAAGUCUUUCAGUGCCUUGGGCAAGGUCACACACCAAGUCUGAGACAAAGAAAGUCUCCUGACGCCUAGUGCUCUUUACUUUAACGACCAGACUGUCCUCCAUUAAAGGAGCAGAAAUGCUACAAGCGUGUGACAAGAGCUUGCACUCUCUUUAAAGACAUUUGCACUUUUGGCCUCACAUUAACCAGGGUGCAAAUAUCUUCCUGGUUUCAAUUUUGCAUUUGCUUUAAAGUCAGAGAUUUAAAAAAAAAAAAAAAAGCAGUUUUCUUUUACAAUCAAAUAUCGUUUUAGAUAAAAAAAUACAAGCGUUUCAAUUCAAGCCAUGGUGGCUAAUGCAAUGAGCACCCAGCCCAUACUUAAGGUCUGACUAUAGCAGAUGUAUAAUCAGUUACUAUGAAUCUAGUUGUUAACUUCAUAGCAGGAGCAGAAUAUCAAUUCAGUUAAUAAUGCUGCUGAAUCAAGCACCACAGCCAGUCAGUAUCUACUAGCCUGCCCACACGCAGCUCAGCAGAGGAUACUUUAGCCAGAGGGAAAGCCCAGACCAAAGGCAGCAGUAGGUAUGCCACCUGCUGCUGAUUCCAUAGCCUUGAGCAACACUACCCACAUUAAACCAUUUGUGGUACUACACUGAGCCACCAAUAGGAAUUCAAAGCAGAUGUGGGACUACCACUACUUCCUUUUGAAUGCUUAGGAGAUUUGUGCAUGUUCAUAAGAGAAGUAUUACAUACCAAAAAAAAGCAAAACUGAAGUCAAUGGUUUGAUGUUUGAAGAGUAACUCUCAACAGUCAUUGAGAUUAGGGGUAAAAUAUUCAAAAGCACCUGAGGGAUUUACGAGACUUAACCCCAUUUUCAAAAGUGAUUUAGGCACAUUGGAGCCUUAUUUUCGGGAGGAAUAAGUGGCAGGAAAAAAGAAAAAACUGCUAGAUGAAAAAAAAGCUAUAUUUACAUAUGUUGAUUGUCUAACUCAUCAAGGAAACAAUGACAUUUAUGUAUAAUUAACAUAACCCCUGUAGAGUGAAUACUUCAUAAGCCCUACAUUUAGAUCCAGGGUAGGGCACCAAACUAGAAACCUAGUUUUUAAACUCUAGAUCCUUUUAACUUUAUGAUGCAUCUUAAAGUUAAAAUUAAUGUUAUGGUACUCCCAGAGUGAAGAUUUACAAUCUAGAAAAUCACUUCUCUUACACACUAGUUACAUCAUUUUGGAUCAAGGAAAAAGGAUGUGUAUCAUCCAUCCCUUUCCCCUUCCUGUUCUUUGUUCCCACUAUAGAAUUUACUCCCUUCCUGGAACAUUCAUUUUCCCGUUCACCCAAUUUGCAAAGUACCUUUUUCCCAUGCUACUGUUACUUCUCAUCCCAGCACAAGACUGAACAGAAAGAAAGUUAAAAGAAAGUCCUAAACCUGACAUUUUAGAAUCAGAUCAAACACUAAAGUUCUCUCCUCCUCUGAAAUACAAUCUGUAUAACUGCUCAAUAUGACAAGUUUUAAUGAUCCUCUAGAAAAAACUUAACAAAAACAGAAAUCCUCAGACUUCCUAUAGCUGAUCUUGUACUAUAAGGAAGAAAGACUUUUGUUUCCUUUCAAGUCCUCUAUUCAGUGUACAUAGCAACAUAGGAAUGAAGGGAUGCUGUGCAGCAUUUCCAUGCACCAUACCUGUGAAAUCAGAUAAAUCAGUAUCAGAAGCUUCAUUGCAGAGGCAGCAAAGCAGGUUCUCCUCUUUGCUAUAACUGCUGGACUGUAGUAGAACCGUUCCCAGGAUCAUAUUGUGCUCGACAGCAAGCAAAAGGAACUGCUAGACACAAGCAGUCUUAGAAUUCCACUCCCAGCACAAGUCCUUCCAUGUGAUUAUUACUCACAUGACUGGGAACCAAUCGGAAAAGCAUCACUCCAGGAGCAAGAGGAGUCGUUACUGAGAAAAUACAUUCUGUGCUCUAUCUAGCUGCUAUAACUAGAAGUAUAAUAAGGGUGGAGCUUCCCAAUGCGCUGUGGACAGCUUAAGGAGGAGGUGGAGAACAGACUGCAAAUUGAAACAUCUCUGGCAUCAAGCAAGUUAGUCUUGUUACAUUAGAUUUAGCAAAUUAAGACCAUAAGAAUCAUGCUUUCUCCAAGGAAACUUUUAGCUUUCAUCCAAAUGAUCUACCAUGUCGUCAUCAGUAAAGGGGCCACCCAGCUUGAGUCAUUUUCCACACCACAUGCAACUGCUCAUAUGCUAUUUACAGGAAUCGAAAAGAAACUACAUUAAAGAAACAUUAAAAGAGUGAGUAAGAUGUACAAAAGCUAAAAAACUGAUAAUCGGUGAUAAAAAAAAAUGUGCUGACGAGGACAUUCUGGUCCUAACUCGUACUUUUUUAAAAGACUAAAAGUAUAAACAGCACAGUAAACCUGCAUUUUUUGUUUAUGAAGAUCCAAGUCAGAUCACUUGUUAUUUCAAAGGGCCACUGUCAAACACAUUAUUUUUAAAUUGAUUAAUUUAAAUAAACAAACCAGUUUAUAGAGUUGCCUUUAAAAAGGAAUUUUUGAAAUUCCUGUAAUUUUUACAAGGGUUUCUCUGCAUUCCUUUUGAUGCGUAAGGAUUUAACAAUAGCAAAAGAGAAACCAACCAGCCAGGGGGAAGGAGUUGAAACUGAUUAUAUUUAAAGGCCCUUCCUUUUCAGUUUUUGUUUUAAAUUUCCCAGAAACUGGUAGAUUUUUA